rnacentral:rRNA from 1 species
GACGAACGCUGGCGGCGUGCCUAAUACAUGCAAGUCGAACGCUGAAGGAGGAGCUUGCUUCUCUGGAUGAGUUGCGAACGGGUGAGUAACGCGUAGGUAACCUGCCUGGUAGCGGGGGAUAACUAUUGGAAACGAUAGCUAAUACCGCAUAAUAGUAGAUGUCGCAUGACAUUUGCUUAAAAGGUGCAAUUGCAUCACUACCAGAUGGACCUGCGUUGUAUUAGCUAGUUGGUGAGGUAACGGCUCACCAAGGCAACGAUACAUAGCCGACCUGGGAGGGGGAUCGGCCAAACUGGGACUGAGACACGGCCCAGACUCCUACGGGAGGCAGCAGUAGGGAAUCUUCGGCAAUGGACGGAAGUCUGACCGAGCCACGCCGCGGGAGUGAAGAAGGGUUUCGGAUCGUAAAGCUCUGUUGUAAGAGAAGAACGAGUGUGAGAGUGGAAAGUUCACACUGUGACGGUAUCUUACCAGAAAGAGACGGCUAACUACGUG